GAUGAACGCUGGCGGCGUGCCUAAUACAUGCAAGUCGAGCGAACAGACGAGGAGCUUGCUCCUCUGACGUUAGCGGCGGACGGGUGAGUAACACGUGGAUAACCUACCUAUAAGACUGGGAUAACUUCGGGAAAACGGAGCUAAUACCAGAUAAUAUAUUGAACCGCAUGGUUCAAUAGUGAAAGACGCUUUUGCUGUCACUUAUAGAUGGAUCCGCGCCGCAUUAGCUAGUUGGUAAGGUAACGGCUUACCAAGGCGACGAUGCGUAGCCGACCUGAGAGGGUGAUCGGCCACACUGGAACUGAGACACGGUCCAGACUCCUACGGGAGGCAGCAGUAGGGAAUCUUCGGCAAUGGGCGAAAGCCUGACGGAGCAACGCCGCGUGAGUGAUGAAGGUCUUCGGAUCGUAAAGCUCUGUUAUUAGGGAAGAACAAAUGUGUAAGUAACCAUGCACGUCUUGACGGUACCUAAUCAGAAAGCCACGGCUAACUACGUG
rnacentral:rRNA from 1 species